GUCCCGGUUUAAGCGUGUAGGUGUGUGUUCCAGGUAAAUCCGGUUCACUUUAACACUGAGGCGUGACGACGAGGCACUACGGUGCUGAAGCAACAAAUGCCCUGCUUCCAGGAAAAGCCUCUAAGCAUCAGGUAACAUCAAAUCGUACCCCAAACCGACACAGGUGGUCAGGUAGAGAAUACCAAGGCGCUUGAGAGAACUCGGGUGAAGGAACUAGGCAAAAUGGUGCCGUAACUUCGGGAGAAGGCACGCUGACACGUAGGUGAAGUGAUUUACUCACGGAGCUGAAGUCAGUCGAAGAUACCAGCUGGCUGCAACUGUUUAUUAAAAACACAGCACUGUGCAAACACGAAAGUGGACGUAUACGGUGUGACGCCUGCCCGGUGCCGGAAGGUUAAUUGAUGGGGUCAGCGCAAGCGAAGCUCCUGAUCGAAGCCCCGGUAAACGGCGGCCGUAACUAUAACGGUCCUAAGGUAGCGAAAUUCCUUGUCGGGUAAGUUCCGACCUGCACGAAUGGCGUAAUGAUGGCCAGGCUGUCUCCACCCGAGACUCAGUGAAAUUGAACUCGCUGUGAAGAUGCAGUGUACCCGCGGCAAGACGGAAAGACCCCGUGAACCUUUACUAUAGCUUGACACUGAACAUUGAGCCUUGAUGUGUAGGAUAGGUGGGAGGCUUUGAAGUGUGGACGCCAGUCUGCAUGGAGCCGACCUUGAAAUACCACCCUUUAAUGUUUGAUGUUCUAACGUGGACCCGUAAUCCGGGUUGCGGACAGUGUCUGGUGGGUAGUUUGACUGGGGCGGUCUCCUCCUAAAGAGUAACGGAGGAGCACGAAGGUUGGCUAAUCCUGGUCGGACAUCAGGAGGUUAGUGCAAUGGCAUAAGCCAGCUUGACUGCGAGCGUGACGGCGCGAGCAGGUGCGAAAGCAGGUCAUAGUGAUCCGGUGGUUCUGAAUGGAAGGGCCAUCGCUCAACGGAUAAAAGGUACUCCGGGGAUAACAGGCUGAUACCGCCCAAGAGUUCAUAUCGACGGCGGUGUUUGGCACCUCGAUGUCGGCUCAUCACAUCCUGGGGCUGAAGUAGGUCCCAAGGGUAUGGCUGUUCGCCAUUUAAAGUGGUACGCGAGCUGGGUUUAGAACGUCGUGAGACAGUUCGGUCCCUAUCUGCCGUGGGCGCUGGAGAACUGAGGGGGGCUGCUCCUAGUACGAGAGGACCGGAGUGGACGCAUCACUGGUGUUCGGGUUGUCAUGCCAAUGGCACUGCCCGGUAGCUAAAUGCGGAAGAGAUAAGUGCUGAAAGCAUCUAAGCACGAAACUUGCCCCGAGAUGAGUUCUCCCUGAGACUUUAGGUCUCCUGAAGGAACGUUGAAGACGACGACGUUGAUAGGCCGGGUGUGUAAGCGCAGCGAUGCGUUGAGCUAACCGGUACUAAUGAACCGUGAGGCUUAACCUUACAACGCCGAA
rnacentral:rRNA from 1 species